GUAGAUAGCUCAGUUAGGUAGAGCACGGUGCUGAUGACGCCACGGUCACAGGUUCGAUCCCCAUAAGGGACA